GAAAUGCGAUACGUAGUGUGAAUUGCAGAAUUCCGUGAACCAUCGAAUCUUUGAACGCAUAUUGCGCUCGAGGCUUCGGCCGAGAGCAUGUCUGCCUCAGCGUCGGCUCACCCCUCGCCAUCCCAACCCUUGUGGUUGCGAAAGGCGGAUCUGGCCGUCUCGUUGCCUCCGGGCAAACGGGUCGGCUGAAGCCCAGAGGCUUGAGCAUGCACCCGUUACAAGGGCAACAGCUAGGUAGGUGGUUAUGCCGCAUGCCGCUGGUGCCUUUAGGGCGUGCUGUAAAGCCUGCAGGAACAAUGCAGUCCUAGGACUGGAUUGACUCACUCAUUCGACCUGAGAUCAGGCAAGGUUACCCGCUGAACUUAA
rnacentral:misc_RNA from 1 species